rnacentral:lncRNA from 1 species
UAAUAUUCAUGUCAAUAGAAGUCAUUAUAGGUUGGCAAGAGUAAACAUAACUCACUGAGUCAAUCAAAUCGGCACCACUCCCUCCAUAAUGUUCAUCAGGAAACCAACUUCCAGUAUCAACUACUUGUUGUUUCAUAAACUCGAUGAUCUCGUUGAGUGACCGUAACCGGUGACCGAGCUCGGUCACCCGAGCGGCCAGCACCGAGUUCUCAGCCUCCAAACUCACAUAAUGCUGAGUGAUCAUACCAAUACUGGACACAACUCGGUUGUUCUCGCUCCUGAGUUGACUCAGCUGAGUCAUGAGAUCGUUCAAGUGCUUUUGCUUCUUCAUUCUUGACCUCUUUGCUGAUUCUCUGUUUGAUAUCAUUCUUCUUUGUUCUCUUUGGUCCAUUUGUAACCACCAAACGACGUCGUUGUGCCACUAGAAUUAGCCUUAAAAAUACCAAAAAUAUUAAUAAAAAAAAGAAUCUUGAAAUUGAAGAUUUUGAAGGAGAAAUUAGCAAAGAUUUUAACUUUUUUUCAAGAAACUUGAAAUGGAAGAUUUUGGGGAGAAAUUAACAGGACCCAGAUGAAAAUUAAAGAUUUUGAAGGAGAAAUUAGCAAAAAUAGCAACUUUUUUUCAAGAAACUUGAAAUGGAAGAUUUUGAGGGAGAAAUUAACAGGACCCAGAAGGUAA